rnacentral:rRNA from 1 species
GGGGAAUAUUGGACAAUGGGCGCAAGCCUGAUCCAGCCAUACCGCGUGGGUGAAGAAGGCCUUCGGGUUGUAAAGCCCUUUUGUUGGGAAAGAAAUCCUAUCGAUUAAUACUCGGUGGGGAUGACGGUACCCAAAGAAUAAGCACCGGCUAACUUCGUGCCAGCAGCCGCGGUAAUACGAAGGGUGCAAGCGUUACUCGGAAUUACUGGGCGUAAAGCGUGCGUAGGUGGUUGUUUAAGUCUGUUGUGAAAGCCCUGGGCUCAACCUGGGAAUUGCAGUGGAUACUGGGCGACUAGAGUGUGGUAGAGGAUAGUGGAAUUUCCGGUGUAGCAGUGAAAUGCGUAGAGAUCGGAAGGAACAUCUGUGGCGAAGGCGACUAUCUGGGCCAACACUGACACUGAGGCACGAAAGUGUGGGGAUCAAAC